GGGGGUGCAUAUACUGCAGUCGAGCGAGCUUGCCUAGAUGAUUUUAGUGCUUGCACUAAAUGAAACUAGAUACAAGCGAGCGGCGGACGGGUGAGUAACACGUGGGUAACCUGCCCAAGAGACUGGGAUAACACCUGGAAACAGAUGCUAAUACCGGAUAACAACACUAGACGCAUGUCUAGAGUUUGAAAGAUGGUUCUGCUAUCACUCUUGGAUGGACCUGCGGUGCAUUAGCUAGUUGGUAAGGUAACGGCUUACCAAGGCAAUGAUGCAUAGCCGAGUUGAGAGACUGAUCGGCCACAUUGGGACUGAGACACGGCCCAAACUCCUACGGGAGGCAGCAGUAGGGAAUCUUCCACAAUGGACGAAAGUCUGAUGGAGCAACGCCGCGUGAGUGAAGAAGGGUUUCGGCUCGUAAAGCUCUGUUGGUAGUGAAGAAAGAUAGAGGUAGUAACUGGCCUUUAUUUGACGGUAAUUACUUAGAAAGUCACGGCUAACUACGUGCCAGCAGCCGCGGUAAUACGUAGGUGGCAAGCGUUGUCCGGAUUUAUUGGGCGUAAAGCGAGUGCAGGCGGUUCAAUAAGUCUGAUGUGAAAGCCUUCGGCUCAACCGGAGGAUUGCAUCAGAAACUGUUGAACUUGAGUGCAGAAGAGGAGAGUGGAACUCCAUGUGUAGCGGUGGAAUGCGUAGAUAUAUGGAAGAACACCAGUGGCGAAGGCGGCUCUCUGGUCUGCAACUGACGCUGAGGCU
rnacentral:rRNA from 1 species